rnacentral:tRNA from 1 species
GCGUGUGUAGCUCAACGGUAGAGUAGAAGCCUUCCAAGCUUACGACGAGGGUUCGAUUCCCUUCACCCGCUCCA